ensembl:lncRNA
UGGAGGAGGAGAAGAGAACGGCAUGGAGAGAUGAACGAGGUUAGCUGAACCAAAGUGAGAGACCCGGCUAGUUUUACUGAGGUUAACCAGCACAAAAGAGUGUGUGACUAGAAAGCUGACCGUGUGAGAGCUUCACAACAGAGUGUGGGUGAAGUGACUUUUUGUUUCAACGGUCGCACCACCGUGGAAAACUGUUUCCAGCUACGACCGCCGAGGCUAAAGGCUAGCCCGGACUGCUUGGCUUCGCCAAGGAGGCAGCCGCUAUGGACUGUCGGAGAGCUGGACAGUGACUCGCUAACGUGCUGUAGCAGAGACAGCAUCGGGUCCGCAAGGAGUGGAUUUAUUGUGGGACUGGUGAACGGCGAUCUACCGGGCAACGGAACUGUAAGUCAGACUUUUGUGCUCUUACUGGGGAGAAGAGGAUUUUCUCCAUCGUCCGGCGUGAGCAGCAAACAGGCCUGCAACAAGUGUGAAUGUCAGAUGAUGUCACUAAAAAGGUGCAGACAGCACAAACAUGGUCCAGAGUGUCCAGUUCAGGGAAUCCAGUUAGCUGAGGUGAAGCCUUGCAGACAGCUAGCAGCUACAGCCACGAAGAGGCCACGCCCCUUAUAAUGCAAACUGUAAGCCUUAAAGUAAUUUAAACAGGUGAGUCAUGAACACAUCCUCCCUCUGUACAGGUGUUAUGAAGGAGGAAAUGAGCCACAGAGAGCAAACAGUUUGUGUGUCAGGCUGUAAACAUGUUUAUUUCUGCUGGAAAGCUUUAACAUGGGAGUCUAUGAGGACUGACUCACUGCUGCCUCUGCUGGACGUUAGAGGAACUGCAGCUUUUCAUCAUUUGUUUUUUUACCACCUGGAAUUUGUGACAUUUAGUUUUGAGUAUCUGAACAAAAGCUGGGACUAACUCUGCGUAUAUCCCUCCAGGACCGGAAAAUAAGAACAUACUCGUCUGUGGUGUCAGUGGUCAGGAGUCUAAUCAAGCUUUAUAUUAUUUUCUAGAAAGCCUGCAG